rnacentral:rRNA from 1 species
GCGGCCUAUCAGCUUGUUGGUGAGGUAAUGGCUCACCAAGGCAACGACGGGUAGCCGGCCUGAGAGGGCGACCGGCCACACUGGGACUGAGACACGGCCCAGACUCCUACGGGAGGCAGCAGUGGGGAAUAUUGGGCAAUGGAGGAAACUCUGACCCAGCGACGCCGCGUGCGGGAUGAAGGCCUUCGGGUUGUAAACCGCUUUCAGUAGGGAAGAAGCGAAAGUGACGGUACCUACAAAAGAAGCACCGGCUAACUAUGUGCCAGCAGCCGCGGUAAUACAUAGGGUGCAAGCGUUGUCCGGAACUAUUGGGCGUAAAGAGCUCGUAGGUCGUUUGUUACGUCGGAUGUGAAAACCUGAGGCUCAACCUCAGGCCUGCAUUCGAUACGGGCAAACUAGAGUUUGGUAGGGGAGACUGGAAUUCCU